GACGAACGCUGGCGGCGUGCUUAACACAUGCAAGUCGAGCGGUAAGGCCCUUUCGGGGUACGACGAGCGGCGAACGGGUGAGUAACACGUGGGUGACCUGCCCUCCAGCUCUGGGAGUAAGCCUGGGAAACGUGGGUCGUAAUACCGGAUAUGACUCCAUGACGCAUGUUGUGGGGUGGAAAGCCUUGUGCGGCUGAGGAU
rnacentral:rRNA from 1 species